rfam:Pantoea sp. At-9b, complete genome.
ACUUCCUAAGCCGGAACGAAAAGAUUUCUGGAAAUGUGCGUUAGUUCGCAGACUUUUGGAGAGCUUUUGGCUUGUGGUCGUGAUGUUGUGUUUGCAUUUUGAUCUGACGAUUGCGGAUCAAGCUUUUAAUUCCUGUAGAUUUACCCUGUCUGUCCAAAGUGAUUUACAUAGCACCGCAAAUUGCGGUGCUUUUUUUU